GACAGAGGGUGCUAGCGUUGUUCGGAAUUAUUGGGCGUAAAGAGCUCGUAGGCGGUGUGUCACGUCGGCCGUGAAAACCUGCAGCUUAACUGUGGGCGUGCGGUCGAUACGGGCAUCACUGGAGUUCGGCAGGGGAGACUGGAAUUCCUGGUGUAGCGGUGAAAUGCGCAGAUAUCAGGAGGAACACCGGUGGCGAAGGCGGGUCUCUGGGCCGAUACUGACGCUGAGGAGCGAAAGCGUGGGGAGCAAACAGG
rnacentral:rRNA from 1 species